rnacentral:lncRNA from 1 species
UCCGAUGAGGUCCACCGGAGAAGAAGACCAAAGUUAUGGAUCCGGCGGUGUGUUGGCACAUCUCCCAGCCACAGGAUCCAUUCAGAUUGUUUUAAUCUUAGGCGCUGGUUUUAAUUACCACGUGUGUGGCGCGCUGACUGGGUUCUACAAUGGAACGCACGGUUAUGUCCAUUGAUCUGCCACCUCAAUUAAUGAGGGAGAUCAAGUGGCUCACGUUUUUUUUGAUUUUUUUAUUUUUG